rnacentral:siRNA from 1 species
ACAGCUUGGCAACGGGGAAUGAC